GAACGCUGGCGGCGUGCUUAACACAUGCAAGUCGAACGAAGCACUUUUUACAGUAUUUCUUCGGAAUGAAGUUUUAGUGACUGAGUGGCAGACGGGUGAGUAACACGUGGUAACCUACCCUGAAGACUGGGAUAACAGUUAGAAAUGACUGCUAAUACCGGAUGAUUCAUGAGAAGAUAACUUUUCAUGCUAAAAGGAGCGUUUGCUUCACUUCAGGAUGGCCUCGCGUCUGAUUAGCUAGUUGGUGAGGUAAUGGCUCACCAAGGCGACGAUCAGUAGCCGGACUGAGAGGUUGGCCGGCCACAUUGGGACUGAGACACGGCCCAGACUCCUACGGGAGGCAGCAGUGGGGAAUAUUGGGCAAUGGGCGCAAGCCUGACCCAGCAACGCCGCGUGAAGGAAGAAGGCUUUCGGGUUGUAAACUUCUUUUAAGAGGGAAGAGCAGAAGACUGUACCUCUAGAAUAAGCCACGGCUAACUACGUG
rnacentral:rRNA from 1 species